rnacentral:snRNA from 1 species
GUGCUCGCUUCGGCAGCACAUACUAAAAUUGGAACGACACAGAGAAGAUUAGCGUGGCCCCUGCACAAGGAUGACACACAAAUUCAUGAAGCGUUCCAUAUUUAA